AAGUCGUAACAAGGUAACCGUAGGUGAACCUGCGGUUGGAUCAUUAACAAACCCCGUCCGGCGCAAGCCGGCGGAAAUGGGGACUGCCUCGGCAGGAACCACGACCCAACACUGUGCACCGUCUCUUUUUGGGUCCUAGACCCGAAACACAGACCCAACCCUUAAGCCUUGAACCUAGUAAUUAAAAAACAACUUUUGACAACGGAUCUCUUGGCUCUC
rnacentral:misc_RNA from 1 species